ACUAAAGCAUUUAGGAAGGAAGACAAAAGCUGUGCCGCGAGAGAACGGUCAUUUACCACAAUGAUGCUGGGACGGCUGACAACGCUGACUCUUCUUAUUUCAUUGUCUGCAGCCGCUCCUCGCCAGAUCUCGGUGAUUGUGGUGGAAGUCGGUGGGACCGUUGACUUCCCAUGCCCGGUCUCCGAGAAGGAGGGGAGGUUCUUCCACUGGUACAAGCAAAGUCCUGGAUACCUGUUCGAAACGGUUGCCACGGGAACGUUUACCAAACAGAUGCUUCAGGGGCCGUUCCAGAACCCUCGUUUCAAAGUGACAGAGGGGGAUUCCAAUUAUAUUCUUUCCAUCACUGAUGUCGUAAAAGAGGACGAAGGAACAUACUUCUGUCAAAAUGGAACUGCGUAUUCUCAGACUUUCGUUUAUGGCAAUUUCUUGGCUGUGAAUGAUCAGAGUCAGCAGAGCAACGUCUUUGUGAAACAGAGUCCAGAAACGGCCUCAGUCCACCCGGGGUUCACUGUGACGCUACAGUGUUCCCUUCUUUCCCAGAACAUAGGAAACCGCGUCGAAUGUCCAGAUGAUCAAAUGGUUUACUGGUUCCGAGCUGCGUCGCAACACAGUCAUCCUGGAAUAGUUUACACUAACAGGAGUACGGAAAAAAGGAGCUGCGUCUACAGUCUGACUAAAACCAUCGAGGACUCCACUGAUGCUGGGACUUACUACUGUGCUGUGGCCAUAUGUGGAGAAAUCCUGUUUGGUGAAGGAACUGAAGUGGAGACAAGACAUGAAUGGCACCUUGUUGCCGCUGUGCUCGGGGCUCUGUUGGCGCUCUGUCUGAUUGUGAUUGCCGUCCUUGUUUUCUCAAGACACUGAGGUCAUGGUGUGGUCAGAAUGAUCAGUGACAAUACUCACACUUUCCAUCAUGUCUUUCCACUACUACCCUCCGGAAGGCGAUACGGGGCCCUGAAGUGCCGCACCACGACACUGGGGAACAGCUGCUAUCCCUCGACUGUACAAGAACUGAGUUCUCAGAAUCUAUAUCCACUUAACUAUAGUUUUUACAUUAGGGAGAACUGUUUUAAAUGUAGUUGUAUUGUUCUCAAUGCAGUGAUAAUAAAGACAUUCUAUUCUAUUUAAUUCAUGGUCUGUAUUUAUGUAGCACCUUUCUAGCCUUCAUGAAAACACUCACAGCUGCUUCACACUACAGUUUGGACAUUCAUCCGUUCACAUUUACUCACUACAUUCAUACACGGCAUCUUCGUGCAGAGCCUUUGCUGUCACUCUUUCACACGCUGCCGUCAGGAACAACGCCAGGUUAAAUGUCCAGGAAUCCAGAACCUAGAAUCAUCCCCUUAAAGCUGAUUUGUUUCUAUUGUUUUACAUAGUGGGAAUUUUCUAUUUUGCUUCUUUUACAUCAAAAUUAGCACGUGUAAAUGGUUUUUAAACACAACCUGCUAUCUACGACAGGGGGACAGACUCAUUUCCCAGUGUAAAUUUGCACUUUCUGAUCAUUUCCUUUCAAUUUCAUGUUCCAGAUUCACCGUAAAACAACCCAAGGUGACCGUGCAGAAGCACACACGACAGAGAAGAGCUUAGUGCAAAGCAGUGGCAAUAGAUUGCUGCUCGAAAGCUGUGCAUUAUAUAAUGUUGCACAGAAGUGCAGACUCUGUGACUAAGCUGCUGUAAAUUGGGGGGUGUGGUGGAGGAGUGCAGUUUCAACGUUUCAGCCAAUCAGGUUGUUUUCUAUGUUUAUAGCUUGAUCUUGUUACUUUACCUUCCAUUUGGGUGGAAAGCCACGAGUAGGUCAACAUCAUGGUGCUGCACCACAAUGAUUUCAAGACUUGCAGCUUUGUUUCUGCUUAGUGGAGAGUCUCUGAUUUGCACUGCAGAGGCUCCUGUCCUGGUCUCUGUGACUGUGGUCAAACCAGGAGACAAUGUGAAUUUAACAUGUCCAGUAUCGAGUGACAAGCAAGUAUUUAACUGGUAUAAACAGCCUCCUGGACACAUGCUGCAUAAAGUUGUUUCAAGAAUAUUGAAAAAGGAAAUUGAACAAUUCAUUGAUGAACGUUUCACCUUCACAAAAGUGGAUAAUCAGUAUUUUCUCACCAUCGUAAAUGUGAGCAAAGAGUGAUCUGAAGUUGCACCAGCCUUUUUUCUAGUUUCAUUCUUUUUUGUUUCUCUAAAUCUUGCAGAUGAGAAUCCAGAAAAGGUGUCCGGCCGCCCAGGACAACAGGCGACUCUGCAGUGUUCCCUCGUUUCCAAGAGCAAAGGAAACACAGUCCAGUGUCCUGGCAGAGACAGUGUUUCCUUGUUCAGAGCCGGCUCAGGAUCAGGACUCUCCCGUCCCAACUUCAUUUACGUUCACGAGAACUCUGACGAUGAUGAUGGGACGCACCGCUGUGCUGUGCUCACGUGUGGAAACAUCUUGUUUGGUGAAGAGACCAAAGUGGAGACAAUCACUGCUCAAUAUGGAGAAUUCUGUGUUUGGAAAUCACUGGUGAAACAUGAAGUGAGAAAAGCAAAGAGAGUGAAUUUGAGGAGAAGAAUGUAUUGUAUGAAUGUUUCUGCAGCUUCUGUGCUCAUCGCUGUGUGUAACCGCCAAACCCACAACCAACGUGGGGGUUUUUCUGUCUUGUUUUAUUUUUCCACAGGAUGUUUCAGGUCACAUUUGUUCUGAGAAUUGUUUAUGAGUGGUUAGUGACUGCAGUCGUGUUUGAGUUAAGGUUUACGGAGAUAUCUUGAUACGGUUGUCAGCUGUGGUGAACACAAAUACUGUACAGUCUCACUUAUUAUCUCUGCAAAUGACCAAAAUAAAAAGGUGACAAACCACCGUGGUAAUCAU